CACACAUUAUCCGCUCCAAUAUCUGAAUAGUAUUCACAUACAAUAACAGAUCACCUAGUGAUCAGAGGAUGAGUUUAUCCCCUCAAUAACUAUGGUGGAAGGCUGGGAACCCCCAUUGUUAGUGACUAUCUUCCUUCUUUAAUAGUCAGGAGAGAUCUGCUCACUGGAGAGGAAGUGAUCUGCCACGUAUGUAUCAAGCUCUUUUUGUCUUUUGAUUUUAAAUAAAUCCUUUGUAUGCUGGAAUAAUAACCAGAUUUGGGAACAUGACAAGAGUGGUUGAGGAGACUUCAUUUUAUUUUCUAUUUACAAUAAAUUGAGUUGAGAUCUUUAUUUAUAUUAAGAUUUAGUUCAGAUUAUGCAUUUUUGCUCCUUUAACGUUCUUGAACCAAUACUGGUGCAAUUAUUGCCUGGAAACUUGCUGUCUCUCACAUAAGUUACACCUCAGGGGGGCACUGUACCCCAACUGCACUAGGCUGAAAACAUGAAUGCCAUAGCAUCUGAUUAAAAAAACCACCAUAACUCACUGCGUAAUAAAUAAACUCCAAAAUGUGAAAAUAGCUGGGUGAAUGAAUCUGUGAAAUUUAGUUAUCAUUGAUCCCCCAGGUAUAUGUAUAUAUAUAUAAACAUUUAAUUAUAGCAAUGAUCACGGUACUCUGUAAGAUUAGAUAACAUUAGUUUUUUUUUUCUGAUGAUUUCAGGAAAAUAAUAAAUCUUCUUCUAACUUCAGAGAGAUAUUUGUUUCCUGAAUUAUUAAAGCCCAUUGGCUGAAAUUUCAAUAAUUAGUAAUAGGACCGCCAUCUGUUUGGGAAAGUUACAAACAUAAAAAAUAGUUUUUAGUAGUUUCUCGAUACACAAGUUACUCUGUCACGUUCCCAAUUCUGAAUGUCUCCAGCCAUCUUGCAUUGUAUGUUGCUAUCUUGUUAAAGGUUUGUAAUGUGGCUGUUGUUCUGUGGUCUCUCUGUAAAUGUCUUGUGGCACGUGGUUGUAGUUAAAUAGUCUGGCUUUUUUCUGCAUGUUUUACUGUUUUUGUAGCUCCACAAUGUUUCUUUGGUUUAAUUAUGUCUAUGAGUGUGCUCUGAUAGUUUGUUAAAAUAACACAUUAAACAAACCGAGAGUCUUUGCGAAGAGCAAGGGACAGGUAUGUGAGGUUGAAGUUACUCUGUGAAGCCACUAGCUUUUCUGAAGAGAUGGGUUUUGAGGAACCUUUUAAAUGAUUGAAGACUAGGGGAGAGUUUGAUGGCGGUAGGCAGACUGUUUCAAAGGAAAAGAGCCACCAUCAAGUUAGCAAUAUGGGUUCGAGCUAAUUAAACAUUCAUUGAUUUAGCUCGGGUUUUAGGGAAUCAAUCUCUUUACUAGCUGGUCAUGAUGCCACUUUUGAGCCUAUGUGGGUUAAAAGAAAAUAGCAAAAUAUACAAAAAUAAAGCAAAACCUGAUUCAUUUUUCUGCUGAAAUGAAAAAGUAUUUCUCGCUGAUUACUAUUUAUAUACCCAAUUAUACUCUUAUCGACACUUAUUACAAAAACAUAGACAGAGACACAUAGAAUGUCCCUCAUUAAUCUUAUUGCUUUGAAAGCAAUCAUGGAGUAGAUAUAGAGUAUUCCAGCAUCGGCCAAUUCUAGCAGUCAUGGAGUAGAUAUAGAGAAUUCCACCAUCAGCAGAUUCUAGCAGUCAUGGAGUAGAUAUAGAGUAUUCCAGCAUCGGCAGAUUCUAGCAGUCAUGGAGUAGAUAUAGAGUAUUCCAGCAUCGCAGAUUCUAGCAGUCAUGGAGUAGAUAUAGAGUAUUCCAGCAUCGGCAGAUUCUAGCAGUCAUGGAGUAGAUAUAGAGUAUUCCAGCAUCAGCAGAUUCUAGCAGUCAUGGAGUAGAUAUAGAGUAUUCCAGCAUCAGCAGUCAUGGAGUAGAUAGCAUAGCGUAUGGAGUAGAUAUAGAGUAUUCCAGCAUCAGCAGAUUCUAGCAGUCAUGGAGUAGAUAUAGAGUAUUCCAGCAUCGGCAGAUUCAAGCAGUCAUGGAGUAGAUAUAGAGUAUUCCAGCAUCGGCAGAUUCUAGCAGUCAUGGAGUAGAUAUAGAGCAUUCCAGCAUCAGCAGAUUCUAGCAGUCAUGGAGUAGAUAUAGAGUAUUCCAGCAUCAGCAGAUUCUAGCAGUCGUGGAGUAGAUAUAGAGUAUUCCAGCAUCGGCAGAUUCUAGCAGUCAUGGAGUAGAUAUAGAGUAUUCCAGCAUCGGCAGAUUCUAGCAGUCAUGGAGUAGAUAUAGCGUAUUCCAGCAUCAGCAGAUUCUAGCAGUCAUGGAGUAGAUAUAGAGUAUUCCAGCAUCGGCAGAUUCAAGCAGUCAUGGAGUAGAUAUAGAGUAUUCCAGCAUCGGCAGAUUCUAGCAGUCAUGGAGUAGAUAUAGAGCAUUCCAGCAUCAGCAGAUUCUAGCAGUCAUGGAGUAGAUAUAGAGCAUUCCAGCAUCGGCAGAUUCUAGCAGUCAUGGAGUAGAUAUAGAGUAUUCCAGCAUCGGCAGAUUCUAGCAGUCAUGGAGUAGAUAUAGAGUAUUCCAGCAUCAGCAGAUUCUAGCAGUCAUGGAGUAGAUAUAGAGUAUUCCAGCAUCAGCAGAUUCUAGCAGUCAUGGAGUAGAUAUAGAGUAUUCCAGCAUCAGCAGAUUCUAGCAGUCAUGGAGGAGAUAUAGCGUAUUCCAGCAUCGGCCAAUUCUAGCAGUCAUGGAGGAGAUAUAGCGUAUUCCAGCAUCGGCAGAUUCUAGCAAUCAUGGAGUAGAUAUAGAGUAUUCCAGCAUCAGCAGAUUCUAGCAGUCAUGGAGUAGAUAUAGAGUAUUCCAGCAUCAGCAGAUUCUAGCAGUCAUGGAGGAGAUAUAGCGUAUUCCAGCAUCGGCAGAUUCUAGCAGUCAUGGAGUAGAUAUAGAGUAUUCCAGCAUCGGCAGAUUCUAGCAGUCAUGGAGCAGAUAUAGAGUAUUCCAGCAUCGGCAGAUUCUCGCAGUCAUGGAGUAGAUAUAGAGUAUUCCAGCAUCGGCAGAUUCUAGCAGUCACGGAGUAGAUAUAGAGCAUUCCAGCAUCGGCAGAUUCUAGCAGUCAUAGAGUAGAUAUAGAGUAUUCCAGCAUCAGCAGAUUCUAGCAAUCAUGGAGUAGAUAUAGACCAUUCCAGCAUCGGCAGAUUCUAGCAGUCAUGGAGUAGAUAUAGAGAAUUCCAGCAUCAGUAGAUUCUUUCAUACUAGCAACUGAUCUCAAGGACAGGUUACCUUGGGUUUAUAGUCAGAUUGGCCAACUUCCUUCUUCACGUUCUCAAGCAUGGCUUCCUAAUUAACCCUGUCUUCUCUAACCUCAGAUUUUAUUUUGUUUUUUAGAACCAGUUUCUCAGCAUUUCAGAACGAAUCCUACUUAGGAGACACCAACCUUCAUCUGUGGACAGUGACUAUGCAAACAUUGACUUUACAAAGAAGAAUGUAAAAGAUAGCUACACCUCCACUGAAGAACUUUCUGAAUAUGCCGAAAUCCGGGUCAAAUGACGGGCCCUUAUCUAACAGCACAAAUGUCUCUGUUACCCACCUUUUGGCAACACCACAAAAUAGAUGGCAGGGUUAGGCUAAAUCAAGUUAUCUUGUUCUCCCAGCCGUUAGAAUGACCUAGAGGCACUGUAACAUUUUGCAAAGAAAGCACAUAACAGAAAUUAUGUCUCCAACUUGAUAAACUCCAUUAACCACCUGUUACAAUGUUACCACCUUGGGUCCAUGAACAUUCGAUGCCAGUCUCAUCCAAUGUAAUUGCACAAAAUCCAUAUAUAACUAAAAAGAUGAAGGAAAACCGGAUAUUAAGAACAAAUAAGAGCAUGGAGCCAAGGUGGAAGCAAUGUGUUACAGAGCUAAAUUAAAACUUAAUGUAUUGCAUUGUUUAUCUUAGUUGGGUGACAGAUGCGGUCUUAUGGGCAUAACAACCAUCAGUUGCUUAAGGUGUGAGAUUUAACACUUUCUGAGGCACUUGCUAUGAAUUAUUGAUUCAUUUCAAGAUGGUAAAUAAUUGUGCUGUUAGUCAAUGAACCUCAAUCCUGAUAUGUUCCACUGUAGCCAAGACAGUCAAUUUAUGCUUCUCCCCUGCAAUGGAAGAUCAUUCUAAAUUAUGUCUGAGCUACAAUGUGUCUGCUCUCAUACUUCAGUUGCUGGAAAUUAAUGAUGGGGACUGGAGAUAUAUUUGGUCCUACAUGCUGGGAAUUGUAGCUCAUUCUUUAAAAUAUAUUUAUUUUCAUUUUUCAGGUUACUCUAUAGUCUGCAAAGAGAGGUAGAGUCUUAAAGUGGUGGAUCUUAAUCCAGUUCUGUAAAAAAAAAAAAAAAAGAAACCUCUCUGGGUCAGUGUUAUAUAAUAUUCCAAUUAUAACUUAUGUUGGAAUUCACUAAAUAUUUAGACUGCUAGAUCUGAGUUGAGAACCACUUCCUUAAAAGGAAAUAGUUUAAGUAUGGAGUUAUCAGUGUGAUGCUUGACCUUUGCUCUGCCUGAAAGUCAAUUGCAUGCACUUACGCAGAAAGAAUUCUAGAAGGCCUAACAAGAUGUCUGACAAUUAACAUAUAUUCAGGGUGCUCCAAUCACAAGAAAAUGAUUUUCUAACAGAUGUUACUUUAUAGCAAAUGUUCUAAAUUAUUGUCUCUUAAACUAACGGCCUAGGAUCAGGUCCCGUCUGUAUCAGUAACUUUAUGAGAACAGGAUUCGGUAAUCCCUAAUUCCUGGAACAUUGCUGGACCUUAAAGACUCUUUAGAGGACUCUGGCACUAAAUCAAAGCUUAGAAAUUUGUAACUAACUCUACAGUCUUUAGUUCCAGCAUUGGGCACCACCUGUUUGAUCUGUACACUUGGAAACCAGAUAUUAUCAACUUCAGGGCUGCCACACACUGCAUUAACAAUUGUGUCUGACUGUAUGUAGCAUUCAUAGUCAAAUGGGAAAUUAGAGAACCAAUCAUGCAAGUUCCUAUUGAUCUCUCCCCUACGCUUACUUUCCUCAGCCAGAAGAUUAAAUAUGAAUCCUUAAGAGGCUGCUUGGCCAAUACUUAAUAAAACAUAUCCAAAUUUGGUAAAUUUGGUCAAGCUAAAAAAAUGAGUGAAUUUGGAAUUAAAAUGUAAUUAUAGGAUAUUGAAUAUGACAGCAGUAGUUAAAGUAAAUUAAUGAUGUAUGAAAUAUUGCUAUGCUGCUUAUUGGUACCUGUGUGAAUGUCCUGGAUCUCCUCUCUAAGAUGGCAAAUAUUCAUAGCCACGUCUCCAACUAUCCUGGUUUGACCUGGUAUUCUGAGAUUCCCAUCUUAAUGUUUGGUCUGCAGGGUUGUUUUCAUUAAACUGGACAUGUGGAUAUUAUGGGACACAAUCUGACUUGAAGAAUUUUUAAAAUUCAGGGGUUUUAACCUAAAAUGUCAAUGCUCUCGCAAAUCUCCAAAAAUAUCUUGACAUGAAAUAAAACCACGACUGUCAGACUUCUAGUAAAAAAACUCUAUGUCACACUUACAGUGGGUAGAUUAUGAAUGUCUGUGCACAUUGAAAAGCAAUGCCUUGACCUAUGUCUCCAGGAGAUAUAGUCCUAUCUCACCAUCAUAGAGUCCAGGCAAGUCUCCACCAUCCAAGACCAGUUCCACCAAUAACUAGGGACACUGACCUCUGCACACUCCCACACUAGGUGUCAGUUCUGGCAUCACAUGACAAUUUAUUUCCUGAGGAAUUAGCUUCAAAAUUAGCUUCUGUUUGGGUAAAAAUAGAGAAUUGUUGCAAAUUUUAGACCAAAAUAGAAGAGUUUUGAAAAGCCUUCAACAUUUUUUUUCCAGAUUUUUACUUACACGUUCUAAGCAGUGAUUACAUUCUUGGAUACAGAUUUCUGAACAGAGACUUUAUAUCAAUGCUUAGUACAUGCUUCUUAAGUUUCUGAAAUGUGAUUGCAGUGUUAUAUUUACAUAUUACACAUUACAUGCUUCUAUCGUGUAUUUUCUUUUAAAAUAAGUGUAUGUGACUAAAACACCAAUGUGUAAUUGGCAGCUUCUCUCCUGGAAUGGACACUAGAGGUCCCCAUUGAUGAUACAAUUCUCACCACCUUCUCUGAGCAGAGACUAAGGGCUCCUCUAUUUCAUACUGAAAAAUAUCUUGUGGUCAAAGGAAUUAUAAGAAUUUAAAAGCAGCCGCAGCAGAGUAUUUCAGUACAGGGUCCUCCACACAUGACGUCUUAGGACCCUGUACCAAAACACAGGGCAAAUUCUAUCAUUUGCUUAGCAUAUUGAAUUAUGUUAGUAAGCACUUACAUUUGUGCUGGAUGCUUAAAUCUUAAAAAGGCAUCUCGCCUAUUUACCGAGUCCCGCUGGACUGCUGUCAAUAGUGAUCAAUACAAACUUCAAUAGGAAGACUCUUUGAGUCUAGCAAAAGGAAUAAAACUGUGUUGUUCAAAAUAAAUAAAUAAUAAUUUUAUGUAGAAAAUAUAAAAAUACGAAGCCAUGAACAGCCCUUCAAUGAGACUUUCAACACCUCACGCUACAUAUUGAUAUAUUAAUACUCCCUUCUCCAUGUCUGGGGAUCAAGACUCUCAGGUUUUCUUCCUGUGAUCCAGGUGAGAAGUCAGGUUGAUUGAUUCUCAGAGUUGGAAUAAUAGCAUGGAAUGUUUAAGACCUUCGAGAGGUAAUCCCAAUGCUCUCUGAAUGUACGUUUUCUUGCCUUGGUUUAUCAGCAUGUGAAGUGUGAAUGCUUGUUCUUUCUGUUCCCCUAGUUUUUCUGGUUUCUGCACACAAACCUCACCAGUGGACCAGCUUUCCUACUGGAUUAACUAUAUAUGGAUACAGAGCCAAAAAGGAAAUCCCCCUUAUUAUUUUUCUGUUAAGAUCCAACAUGGGGUAUUUUCAGGGCCGCCAUCAGAAAUUGUGGGCCCCCUAACACAGCUCAAGGUCUAGGCCCCAGGGUGCCCACCUCCAAAUUCCGCCCACAUGAAUAGACACACACACAGACACAAACGGACACAGACACACACACAGAAAGAUAUACAGAUACUAAAAGACACAAAUACUGAAACAGACACACACAUACACAGAUACAGAUACACACACAUACUGACAAACAGACACACACACAUACAUACUGACAAACAGACAUACAUACAAACUGAUAUACAUACACAUAAAUACAUACUGACAUACAUACAUAAUGGAAUACAUACACAUACAUACUAAUAUACAUAGAUACAUACACACACAAAUAGAUAUAUACAUACACAGAUACAUACACACACACACAAAUAGAUAUAUACAUACACAGAUACAUACAGACACAUACACACACAGACAUACAUGCAUACUGACAUACAUACAUACACACAUACAUACUGACACACACAGACAUAUAUACAUACUGACAUAAACACACAGACAUACAUACUGACAUAAAUACAUACUGACAUACACACACACACAUACAUACUGACAUACAUGCAUACUGACAUACACACACACACACACACACACAGACAUACAUACUGACAUACACACACACAGACAUCUAUACAUACUGACACACACACACACACACAGACAUAUAUACAUACUGACAUACACACACACUGACAUACACACAGACAUAUAUACAUACUGACAUACACACACACACACACACAAUGACAUACACACACAGACAUCUAUACAUACUGACAUACACACACACAGACAUAUAUACAUACUGACAUACACACACACACAGACAUACACACACAGACAUACAUACACACACAAAGACAUAUAUACAUACUGACAUACACACAGACCUACAUACUGACAUACACACAUACUGACAUACACACAGACAUACAUGCAUACUGACAUACAUACUGAUAGAUAGAUACAUACACACACACACACACAGACAUACAUACAUAUAUACAUACUGACAUACACACACACAUACAGACAUACUGACAUACACACACACACACACAUACAUGCAUACUGACAUACAUACGCACACACAUACAUACUGACACACACACAUAGACCUACAAGCAUACUGACACACACACAGACAUGCAUACUGACAUACACACACACAUAUACAUACUGACAUACAUACACAGAGACAUAUAUACAUACUGACAUACACACACAGACAUACAUACACACAUACAUACACACACAGGCAUACAUACACACACAGACAUAUAUACAUACUGACAUACACACAGACAUACAUGCAUACUGACAUACAUACUGAUAGAUAUAUACAUACACACACACACACACACAAGCACACACAGACAUACAUACAUAUAUACAUACUGACAUACACACACACAUACAGAUAGACACAUACAGACAUACUGACAUACACACACACAUACAUGCAUACUGACAUACAUACGCACACACAUGCAUACUGACACACACACAUAGACAUACAUGCAUACUGACACACACACAGACAUGCAUACUGACAUACAUGCAUACUGACAUACACACACAUAUACAUACUGACAUACACACAGACAUACAGACAAAUAUACAUACUGACAAACACACACACACACACAGACAUACAGACAUACACACACACCAGCCAUCACUUCCUCCAAGCAGCAUUUGCGGUGCAGCCGCAAUUUUUAUUUUUUAUUUUUUAAAGGGGCUCGGUCACGCAAUUACCCGGCCGCAGCAGGGCCGCCGGGCCCGUGACAACCGUUCUGGUUGUCACCCACUGAUGGUGGCCCUGGGUAUUUUUAUUAUAAUCAUGAAGUGAGAAGAAAACAUUUUGUGGUGACUUUUCGCAAAACGGCUUCAUUCUUCUGUGCUCCUCGUCAGAUCCAUAGUGGCACUAAAAGAUAUUUAGCAACAGAUAUUAUUUCCAUGUCUGAGCAAAAUAAAAUGUACAAAGAAUUCCAGGCCAGAAUUAGUCAUAUUUUGUUGGUUCUCAUAACAAAUAAACCUCGAUAAAAUUUCAAUGCCAAAAACUUUAACAUAUAAAUCAAAUGACGAGAGAUGAUUUGCAAAUACGGAAAUGAGGAGCACAUGGGGUCUCUCGCAAUUUGAACUCAUCCACAGAUAUAUUGUAGGGCCCAAAUUGAAAGUGAAUAGCAACUGGACAAUCUCUUCUUACAAUACGCAAUGAGUGUUUGUGUAUUUAUAUACACCCAUAAAAUGAUAUAUAUGUAUAUAUAAUUCCUUCAAUGUUAUUAGAAUUAGUAAUUAAUGACAAAAAAGCCUUGGAGAAUAAUUACACAUAAAAAGAAUAGAUAUAACUUUGUAUAUAUCACUAUGUUGCAGAUAAACCUCCAAAUAAACAGGCAUGCAAUUAUUGUUUCACCUUUUCUUUGGGGAUUAAUGAAAGCCUAGUUUACAGUUAUUGCAGAUCUAUUAUCUGCAGCAACUGCAAGCCCUCUCCUUCCUGUCCAGCGCUUACAUACAUUAUCCGAUCCAAGCUUGUCAUUAGAGUCCAAAGUAAAAAUAAUUACUUAGAUGUUACUGAGUGGUGAAAACCCUAAUUGCAGGAAAGCGGCCUGCGAUUACGAGGCCAAGCUAAUUCCCUCUUGUCAAGCAGAUUGAUGGAGGAGACCCUCUGGACUGUCAGUGUGAUAGUGUUCUCUUGAAAUCAUCACUUUGAUAAUAUGACACAAUGAGGACCUCCUAAUAAUCACUGAAGAACUUCACUGAAGUGCUUUACGGGUUGCGAAGUGUCUCUUUAACCCCUUAAGGACCAAACGUCUGGAAUAAAAGGGAAUCAUGACAUGUCACACAUGUCAUGUGUCCUUAAAGGGUUAAAUACAGAAUUUCAGUUGUUAAUAAAUGUAUUUCACAAACUCCAAAAUGUUUUUACUUUCAUGAAAAGAAGUUAAACUUGAAUUAAUAUACACGCGAAUGUCAUCUCCACUCUCCACUUUACAGUCCAGUGCUGUGUUAGAAGGUGUAUUUUAAGAAUAUAAAUAGCUACACCUUGAGUAUGCAGUUUGUUAUGGAGUCUUUGUACUACAUAGUUAUAUCUGUGAAUAAUGAAAUUUACGCUGAAAAUAAUCAUCGGAUUCAGCUAUUUUAGUCUUAAUCUUGAUUGGUUGAAAAAUAACCGCAAGUCACUGUUUAGUUAAUAGAAACCUGCACUAGAUACAGUUAGAAAACAAUAAGCAUUGUAGAACUUUAUUUUUAAGACAUAAGAAACUGGAUUUUGGCCGUAUUUAUUUAAUUGUAUGCUCUGAAUUGUCAUGUUUUGGGAUACCUGCUUUACUUAUGUAAACAAAUAUAAAAUGGAUAAUAAUGUGUUUGUCUUACUUGUAAGUGAACAGUAGGUGGCGCAUAGAUUUAUUUGAUUUGUGUAUAAAGAUAACUGUAACUUUCUUAUACCUGCCUGUUCCUGGAGCGCCGGGCAGCGUCUCUUAGAAGAUCUUGCUGAUCACCCUGACAUGUCGAACCAUCUAAAGCCUGAAUUGCAGCAUUGUAGCAAUUCCUAUCACAUUUAGCCAGCCCAGAAGUUGAUCGUAAUGGCUGGCUGGGCAUUAUGGGAGAUGGGCCAGAGCCAGUAUUAGGCAACAGCCAUUGUUGUAUUCUGUUUGUUUACCUGUGUGGUGCUAGAAGGGAUAAACUGAUGAUUUUAAACAAAGAUUGUUAUUUUUCUUUUUUUAUAAAACCAUUUUUUUUUUUUACAGUUUAAUGAAUUAACAAUCUCCUAUUUUAGCAAAAUAAAAAAAAUUCCAC